rnacentral:lncRNA from 1 species
AUUCAUUUUAACAUCUCAUUUUUCUAUCUCCAACUUUCCCUCCCCUCCUCCCACCCCAGGAAGAAAAGACUACGUUUGUUUCUGGUGAUACAUUCAUUGUAGGUGGGUGGGUGAGUUCUAGAAGAGGAAAAUCAAGAAGAUUUGGAGAGGGAGUCUUGGAAGCUCUGGUGAAGUUUUCCAAAACUGGGAAGGACAGAGGCCACAGGUAUGCCUGUUCUUUUGCUUUGCCAUUUGUGUGGAUACCUAGCAGAGCAAUUUGGGUGCUAUUCUUUGAGGAAUCCAUUGGAUCUGUCAGAAAGCUGAGGUCUGCUCAGCUUGUGUUAGUGGAGAGGAGGGAAGGAAACUGGCUGGAGGCCGCUGGACCCACAGAGGACAAUAGACAAGCUUCUGCUUCCAAGAUGCCCACUGGAUCCAAAGAGAGAAACUCUAUAGAAUUAUGAUCUAGGUUUGACUGACUCCUGGCAACAAGCUCUACCCACCAGCCAAUUUGGAUGAGGGAACACAGAAUCACUUGUGGAAUUAAGAGAUAAGGACAGCAAGUAGACCAAACUAUAAGCUGAGGUUCAAGGUGGCAUAGGCUGGGUGCCACAGUGCUGUGUCUCAGGUAGGUCACAGGGGUCAUCCAUCUUUCCUUCUAUGUGACUGGUUUGCUCUUGCAUAUCAUAUUUUC